GGGAGGUAGUGACAAUAAAUAACAAUAUAGGGCUCUUUUGGGUCUUAUAAUUGGAAUGAGUACAAUUUAAAUCUCUUAACGAGGAACGAUUGGAGGGCAAGUCUGGUGCCAGCAGCCGCGGUAAUUCCAGCUCCAAUAGCGUAUAUUAAAGUUGUUGCAGUUAAAAAGCUCGUAGUUGAAUUUCGGGAUUAGUAGGUUGGUCAUGCCUCUGGUAUGUACUGGUCUCACUGAUUCCUCCCUCUUGACGAACUGUAAUGUCAUUAAUUUGGUGUUGCAGGAAAUCAGGACUGUUACUUUGAAAAAUUAGAGUGUUUAAAGCAGGCUAAGGCUUGAAUACAUUAGCAUGGAAUAAUGAAAUAGGACGUUUGAUCCUAUUUUGUUGGUUUCUAGGAUUGACGUAAUGAUUAAUAGGGAUAGUUGGG
rnacentral:rRNA from 1 species